rnacentral:rRNA from 1 species
UGGGGAAUAUUGGACAAUGGGGGAAACCCUGAUCCAGCCAUGCCGCGUGAGUGAUGAAGGCCUUCGGGUUGUAAAGCUCUUUCGCACGUGACGAUGAUGACUGUAACGUGAGAAGAAGCCCCGGCUAACUUCGUGCCAGCAGCCGCGGUAAUACAGAGGGUGCAAGCGUUAAUCGGAAUUAUUGGGCGUAAAGCGCACGUAGGUGGGCUGAUAAGUUGGAUGUGAAAGCCCUGGGCUCAACCUGGGAAUUGCAUUCAAGACUGUCAGUCUAGAGUAUGGGAGAGGGAAGUGGAAUUUCUGGUGUAGCGGUGAAAUGCGUAGAUAUCAGAAGGAACAUCAGUGGCGAAGGCGACUUUCCUGGCCUAAUACUGACACUAAGGUGCGAAAGCGUGGGGAGCAAACA